rnacentral:rRNA from 1 species
AGCCUGAACGCUGGCGGCGUGGCUAAGACAUGCAAGUCGAACGGACGUAGCAAUACGUCAGUGGCGGACGGGUGAGUAAUGAAUCGCUAACGUACCCCGGAGCCAGGGAUAGCUGCCCGAAAGGGCAGGUAAUACCUGAUGAGACCACAAGCAGGCAUCUGCUGGUGCUCAAAGCCGCAAGGCACUCUGGGAGCGGGCGAUUUUGAUCAGCUAGUUGGUGAGGUAAUGGCUCACCAAGGCGACGACGCAUAGCCGGACUGAGAGGUUGGCCGGCCACAUUGGGACUGAGACACUGCCCAGACUCCUACGGGGGGCUGCAGUAACGAAUCUUCCGCAAUGUACGCAAGUAUGACGGAGCGACGCCGCGUGUAGGACGAAGCCCUUCGGGGUGUAAACUACUGUCAGGGGAAAGAAGUUCUGAUCUACCCCAGAGGAAGGACGGCUAACUCUGUGCCAGCAGCCGC